GUUCACUCUAAUGAGCCACUUCCUGUAAAAUGGCGUCAUGUUCAGUCAGCCACGAUCCUCCAGCCCCAGCGGCCUCAACACGGUGUGAGCCACACUGAGCCGUCUGGCAGCACCCGCCGCCGUCACUCGGCUCGUGACGCUGGUUCCUCCCAUUGUUGGACGGUUUCAGCUCCGCCUGCUGGACCCACACGCUUGGUGAACUGGAGGUGGGAGCGCGGACCGGCGCCAGACGUCCUUGAGUCCGACCCUGUUAGAAAACCUUGCCGUCGGGCGUCCUGUGGCCCAGCGCUCAUUACUGCUGCAAGGAUCUUGGGUGACUCUUUAAAGAUGCUUAAAAAUUAAAUGUACCCUGUAUUAGAACAAAACACUGUGAUUCUUUCAGUGCAUUAAAAGUUUUAACAGAUAAAAAUGCACCUCUCAAAAUAUUAC